UUAUUUUAAACAUAAGCAUUAAAUUUUAAUUUUAAUUAAUAUUUAAUUUUAUUU
rnacentral:tRNA from 1 species